rnacentral:rRNA from 1 species
GACGAACGCUGGCGGCGUGCUUAACACAUGCAAGUCGAACGGAAAGGCCCUGCUUGCAGGGUACUCGAGUGGCGAACGGGUGAGUAACACGUGGGUGAUCUGCCCUGCACUUCGGGAUAAGCCUGGGAAACUGGGCCUAAUACCGGAUAGGAGCCAUUUUUAGUGUGAUGGUUGGAAAGUUUUUUCGGUGUAGGAUGAGCUCGCGGCCUAUCAGCUUGUUGGUGGGGUAAUGGCCUACCAAGGCGGCGACGGGUAGCCGGCCUGAGAGGGUGGACGGCCACAUUGGGACUGAGGUACGGCCCAGACGCCUACGGGAGGCAGCAGUGGGGAAUAUUGCACAAUGGGCGCCAGCCUGAUGAAGCGACGCCGCGUGGGGGAUGACGGCCUUCGGGUUGUAAACUCCUUUCGCUAGGGACGAAGCUUUUUGUGACGGUACCUAGAGAAGAAGCACCGGCUAACUACGUG